rnacentral:rRNA from 1 species
GAUGAACGCUGGCGGCGUGCUUAACACAUGCAAGUCGAACGAUGAAGCCCAGCUUGCUGGGUGGAUUAGUGGCGAACGGGUGAGUAACACGUGAGUAACCUGCCCUUAACUCUGGGAUAAGCCUGGGAAACUGGGUCUAAUACCGGAUAGGAGCGUCCACCGCAUGGUGGGUGUUGGAAAGAUUUAUCGGUUUUGGAUGGACUCGCGGCCUAUCAGCUUGUUGGUGAGGUAAUGGCUCACCAAGGCGACGACGGGUAGCCGGCCUGAGAGGGUGGCCGGCCACACUGGGACUGAGACACGGCCCAGACUCCUACGGGAGGCAGCAGUGGGGAAUAUUGCACAAUGGGCGCAAGCCUGAUGCAGCGACGCCGCGUGAGGGAUGACGGCCUUCGGGUUGUAAACCUCUUUCAGUAGGGAAGAAGCGAAAGUGACGGUACCUGCAGAAGAAGCACCGGCUAACUACGUG